UCCCUGGUGGCUAGGCUGGUAAAGAAUCUGCCUGCAAUGCAGGAGACCUGGGUUCGAUCCCUGGGUUGGGAA
rnacentral:tRNA from 1 species